ACCUCUUAAUUUCGCCCAGGAAUUCUGGUCACCUUGCUUCCCACAGGAAAACAACACUGUUUGAAAGCAGUACUAUUUAGCUGUGAUCUUCUGUAAGUUUGAGGUACUUCG